rnacentral:rRNA from 1 species
AUACGGAGGGUGCAAGCGUUAUCCGGAUUCACUGGGUUUAAAGGGUGCGUAGGCGGGCUAGUAAGUCUGCGGUGAAAUCUUCGAGCUCAACUCGAAAACUGCCGCCGAUACUGCUAGCCUUGAGUAUAGUUGAGGUGGGCGGAAUGUGUCAUGUAGCGGUGAAAUGCGUAGAUAUGACACAGAACACCAAUUGCGAAGGCAGCUCACUAAACUAUUACUGACGCUGAGGCACGAAAGCGUGGGUAGCGAACAGAAUUAGAAACCCCGGUAGUCC